CCUACGGGGGGCAGCAGUGGGGAAUAUUGCACAAUGGGGGAAACCCUGAUGCAGCGACGCCGCGUGAGUGAAGAAGUAUCUCGGUACGUAAAGCUCUAUCAGCAGGGAAGUUAAUGACGGUACCUGACCAAGAAGCCCCGGCUAACUACGUGCCAGCAGCCGCGGUAAUACGUCGGGGGCAAGAGUUAUCCGGAUUUUCGGGGGUUUAAGGGAGCGUAGACGGCUGCACAAGUCUGUAGUGAAAUUGUGAGGCUUAACCGUAGAACUGCUUUGGAGACUGUGAGGCUGGAGUGCAGGUGGGGUAGGCGGAAUGCGUGGUGGAGCGGUGAUAUGCUUAGAGAUCACGAAGAACUCCGAUGGCGAAGGCAGCUUACUAAACUGCCACGGACAUUGAUGCUCGAAAGUGUGGGUAUCAAAAAGGAUUAGAUACCCUUGUAGGC
rnacentral:rRNA from 1 species